rnacentral:rRNA from 1 species
ACAUGCAAGUCGAGGGGCAGCAUGAACUUAGCUUGCUAAGUUUGAUGGCGACCGGCGCACGGGUGAGUAACACGUAUCCAACCUGCCGAUGACUCGGGGAUAGCCUUUCGAAAGAAAGAUUAAUACCCGAUGGCAUAGUUCUUCCGCAUGGUGGAACUAUUAAAGAAUUUCGGUCAUCGAUGGGGAUGCGUUCCAUUAGGUUGUUGGCGGGGUAACGGCCCACCAAGCCUUCGAUGGAUAGGGGUUCUGAGAGGAAGGUCCCCCACAUUGGAACUGAGACACGGUCCAAACUCCUACGGGAGGCAGCAGUGAGGAAUAUUGGUCAAUGGACGAGAGUCUGAACCAGCCAAGUAGCGUGAAGGAUGACUGCCCUAUGGGUUGUAAACUUCUUUUAUACGGGAAUAAAGUGAGGCACGUGUGCCUUUUUGUAUGUACCGUAUGAAUAAGGAUCGGCUAACUCCGUGCCAGCAGCCGCGGUAAUACGGAGGAUCCGAGCGUUAUCCGGAUUUAUUGGGUUUAAAGGGAGCGUAGGCGGACGCUUAAGUCAGUUGUGAAAGUUUGCGGCUCAGCCGUAAAAUUGCAGUUGAUACUGGGUGUCUUGAGUACAGUAGAGGCAGGCGGAAUUCGUGGUGUAGCGGUGAAAUGCUUAGAUAUCACGAAGAACUCCGAUUGCGAAGGCAGCUUGCUGGACUGUAACUGACGCUGAUGCUCGAAAGUGUGGGUAUCAAACAGGAUUAGAUACCCUGGUAGUCCACACAGUAAACGAUGAAUACUCGCUGUUUGCGAUAUACAGUAAGCGGCCAAGCGAAAGCGUUAAGUAUUCCACCUGGGGAGUACGCCGGCAACGGUGAAACUCAAAGGAAUUGACGGGGGCCCGCACAAGCGGAGGAACAUGUGGUUUAAUUCGAUGAUACGCGAGGAACCUUACCCGG